CUCAAGAACAUCUCGUCCAGCAUCGUUGCCCUUGUCAUGGAGAAAGGGGCGCAUCAUCUGGACCUCAGAUUCGCGACCGAUGAGGAUCCGGACUGGGUUACAGAACAGAGGAGGCAAGAAGUUGAGAUCAUAGAGGGAUGGAUAGACCAGUAUCAUCGAGACAUGGCGCAAGUAUCCUAAAGGUGCUGUGUUGCAGAUUUACAGUUACAGUCAAGACAAGUUCACGUCUGGUCUAUGAAAAAGAAAACAUAAAAAGGAAAAGUUCCUUUAUAGCGCACAGGACAAUCACAGGGACAUUAAGAUGAUAAAAGGUGAAAAGCCAGUCCAGUUGUUUCACUUAUCAACAUAAGCUGUAAAACUUGAACACUCUUGGACGAAUCAUGAAUGAAUUUUUACACGAUGUUCA